rnacentral:lncRNA from 1 species
UGUCUGUGUCCCCCAGGUUCAGAGUGCCAUGCAGUUCAAAGCACCGAGUGAAAUGUCUGCGUCUACAGCUUGGAGCCCGAGGGUCAACCCACGUUGGUGAUUUUCCAUGGCACACGGAUGUUCUGAUACAAGCAUUUAAUCAAUGCUGCUGGGAGCGAGAAUGGAUUGGCUUGAAAGUGUCCAAAACCAGGCGGAGGACUUCAGAGUCUGGUCGAUUUUUUGUCAGAGUUGUUUUUAUGUUCUGGAUUCUAACAAUUCACUAGUCACGCGCACGGCAAUGCUUUUAUCCGAGUCUCUGUUUGCUUUUCACUCUGUUUGUGGGAAGCCUCUGGCGCUCGGAGCUUCACGUUCAAGCCGGACGGCUUAUCAGUGCGCUCCUUACUGUCUGUCCUGUGCCUCAUGUGAGAAGCCCUUCGCGUCACCAGCAUCACACGCAGGCUCUGUUUCCUGUAAAAGGCUCACAGAAAAGCCUGAAUGAACUUUUGGGCCAACCCAAUGGUUUGGUUUUUCACGUUUCACAAAACGUAACAGUCUAUAAGGCGAUUUUCAUCGCCCUGCAGCUCCGUGCACCUGUGGCGGAGGCCGGCACGGAACCGAACCCUCCUCCCGUGGAAAGGCGGUGUCCUUGCGCCACUUGUGAGACAAGCUGUUUUCACACCUACGCUGUUCGGUGUGGCAGCCCAGAGCCACACGUGCCAUUCACACGUAAGCAAACCGACAUGAAACAAAAUUUAAAACUCGGUUUCUCAGACCCCGUUGGUGGUGUUUCAAAUGCUCAGUGGUCACACGAGUGGAUAAUUAUAAAAAUGAGUACAGGUAGGAAAGGUGUAGAAACACGAUUCCGUGACUGCGUGAACGCACGUGGACAUCAGCGCUAAUUAGGGUCAUCCUUCUGACGGAUGGAAGAUUUACAAAAACUGGCCACGUUUCAGAAAUACCAACCUGUGGGGCCUGCAAGAUGCAUUCUCUGCUGAAAGAGGAGUCAACUUAGAAAUCAGUAGUAAAUGAUAUUAGCAAACCCCACAGUUUCAGAAUGAAAAAAAAUGCUUCUAAAUAGUCCGGCUUCAAAGAGGUGCUCGUACGGAAAUGAGAAGAUAGAUCUGGACAGUAACUGCUUACCAAAACUAGUGGGCGAAGCGGGGAGGAGCCCGUCUGUUUUAUGCAUUUUUGUGUAAAUCCAGUAUUUUGGGAUCUUGGUUUCCUGACCAAGGAUAGAACCCACAGCCCGUGCAGUGGAAACGCAGCCAGCCGCCGGACUGCCAGGGAAGCCCGCAUACCUGAGACACUUUGGUCUGGGACUUCCAGCCUCCAGGACUAUGAGAAAAAUAAAUUUCUUAAAAACAAUUUUUUGAGCCUCCUA